UAUAUAUAUAAAUACUAUGUUACACUCAAUUUUUUUUCUUUUUGAUCACUAAGUACAACUUAAAAUGAACCUAGUAAAUUUCCAAGCAUUUCUGAUUGACCUAAUAAUUUUAUCCACAAAGUACCUACCAAAUAAAAAUUAUAUGGAAAUUUGCAAAAUUAAAGUACCUAUGAAUGACUCAAAUGUUUUGAAAAUUUGAUUAUGUCUAAAAUAAGUAAAUACAUGUUUCCAAUCCAAAUUUCAAAUCACUAUCAAUAUUUUUAAUUGAAUUUUAACAUAUUAUAUUAUCCAUUU